rnacentral:rRNA from 1 species
CCUACGGGAGGCAGCAGUGAGGAAUAUUGGUCAAUGGACGAGAGUCUGAACCAGCCAAGUAGCGUGAAGGAUGACUGCCCUAUGGGUUGUAAACUUCUUUUAUAUGGGAAUAAAAUGUUCCACGUGUGGGCUUUUGUAUGUACCAUAUGAAUAAGGAUCGGCUAACUCCGUGCCAGCAGCCGCGGUAAUACGGAGGAUCCGAGCGUUAUCCGGAUUUAUUGGGUUUAAAGGGAGCGUAGGUGGAUUGUUAAGUCAGUUGUGAAAGUUUGCGGCUCAACCGUAAAAUUGCAGUUGAAACUGGCAGUCUUGAGUACAGUAGAGGUGUGCGGAAUGCGUGGUGUAGCGGUGAAAUGCUUAGAUAUCACGAAGAACUCCGAUUGCGAAGGCAGCUCACUGGACUGCAACUGACACUGAGGCUCGAAAGUGUGGGUAUCAAACAGGAUUAGAUACCCUAGUAGUC